rnacentral:rRNA from 1 species
UACGUAGGGUGCGAGCGUUGUCCGGAAUUAUUGGGCGUAAAGGGCUCGUAGGCGGCUUGUCGCGUCGGAUGUGAAAGCCCGGGGCUUAACUCCGGGUCUGCAUUCGAUACGGGCAGGCUAGAGUUCGGUAGGGGAGAUCGGAAUUCCUGGUGUAGCGGUGAAAUGCGCAGAUAUCAGGAGGAACACCGGUGGCGAAGGCGGGUCUCUGGGCCGAUACUGACGCUGAGGAGCGAAAGCGUGGGGAGCGAACCGG